rnacentral:rRNA from 1 species
AGGGUUUGAUCCUGGCUCAGAACGAACGCUGGCGGCGUGGCUAAGACAUGCAAGUCGAACGGGUUAUGCAAUUGAGUAAUCGAGCGUAUAACUAGUGGCGAAAGGGUUAGUAAUGGAUAGGUAACGUACCCUGCACUUCAGGAUAGCGUCUAGAUUACUUCGGUAAUCUUUCCGAAAGGGGCAGUAAUACUGAAUAAUGUCAUGUGUUGAUAGACAUAUGACCAAAGAUUUAUCGGUGUGGGAGCGGCCUAUUUCCUAUCAGCUUGUUGGUGAGGUAAUGGCUCACCAAGGCAAUGACGGGUAGCGGGACUGAGAGGUUGGCCCGCAACAUCGGGACUGAGACACUGCCCGGACCUCCACGGAGGGCUGCAGUAACGAAUAUUGCGCAAUGAGCGAAAGCUUGACGCAGCGACGCCGCGUGUAGGAUGAAGUUCUUCGGGAUGUAAACUACUGUCAGGGCUAAGAAAGUCUGUCUCCGGAUAGAUUGAUCUACCCCAGAGGAAGUCACGGCUAACUUCGUGCCAGCAGCCGCGGUAAGACGAAGGUGGCAAGCGUUGUUCGGUAUUACUGGGCUUAAAGCGUGUGUAGGCGAAAAGUAAGCGUUUUGUGAAAUCCCUCGGCUUAACCGAGGAAUUGCUUGACGAACUGCUUUUCUUGAGGCAAGUAGGGGUGUACGGAACUCUUGGUGGAGCGGUGGAAUGCGUAGAUAUCAAGAGGAACGCCAGAGGUGAAGACGGUACACUGGGCUUGUCCUGACGCUGAGACACGAAAGCGUGGGGAGCAAACAGGAUUAGAUACCCUGGUAGUCCACGCUGUAAACGAUGCCUACUAGGUAGUGGAGGUUCUGACGCCGUCACGGCCGAAGCAAAAGUAUUAAGUAGGCCGCCUGGGGAGUACGGUCGCAAGGCUAAAACUCAAAGGAAUUGACGGGGGCUCACACAAGCGGUGGAGCAUGUGGAUUAAUUCGAAACAACGCGUAGAACCUUACCUGGGUUUGACAUGUUUGGAUGCCCUCCUGGAAACGGGAGUAAGCUGCCCUUCGGGGUGAAACUUACACAGGUGCUGCAUGGCUGUCGUCAGCUCGUGUCGUGAGAUGUUGGGUUAAGUCCUUUAACGAGCGAAACCCUUACCGUUAGUUGCCAGCGCGUUAUGGCGGGGACUCUAGCGGGACUGCCGGUGUUAAACCGGAGGAAGGUGGGGACGACG